UCGAAGAUUGACUCCUUCUAGUUCUAAUCCUAUGUAGCUAUGCUAAUCUAGAUAUCUAAUUGAUUUGGUGGCUCUAAUCUUGAUCAGGGGUUUCUUCUCCCUUGAGAAUAAUGAAUUAGGGUUGAGAGGCUCUCUCCUCCAGGGGACAGGGGGUCUGGUUUUAUAGUCCCUUCAAGUGAAUAUGGGCCGUUGGAUCAAACCAACAUUGAUUGAACGGUUAUCCUUGAUCCUUUAGGUCGGUGGAGAUCUUUCCCGAAAGAGUGUCCUGAUUGGUGUCCAACAGGGGGCGGGCGCCCAGGGCAACUGGGCGGGCGCCCAGUGCCUGGCCCCGUUCGGCCUCCGCUUCCUUCCCGUGGCUUCUGGAGUCUUCUAGAUGUAAGAUUUGCGUGGCACGUUAAUAUCUCUAUGUAAUCCCGACGUGUGGGCAGUGGACCUUUCUUCCUUAUUUCCUGAUAACCCCCUGCAGAAAUAGACAAACACCAAAACUAAUGGAAUUCUGUCAGAUAAAACCCUAAGUCUAGAUGUUGAUUUCAUUUGGAUCCUUUUCUUUGUUUAUUUUAUUAAUUAAAUUUGAUACUUAAGGACCGUCAAUAAACUCCCCCAAGCUUACCUCUUGCUCGUCCCUGAGCAAGGAUAGAUUAGAAGUUGCUGCAAUACUUUUAAAAAUUUAUGGUACACAUGCUCUUUAAAUAAAAUGUCAUCUCUGAGUUAGAGUAAACUGUCAAGACUUAAAACUUACUUACUUUACCUUUCACCAUGGGACUUGUAACCGUCACUUCUAUCUUGAGUAGUUAAAAGAUAGAACAGUCUAGUCAAGUGUCAUGUCUCUUAUUCUUGAUCAGCUAUAGCUCUGGAGUUUUUUUUGUAGAUUUUCAAAUAGAACUCAGAGAUUCUUUGUAUGAUUCUCUCAUAUCUCUCUUUGGUGGUAUUUCUGGAUCCAUACCAAGGCAGUGAUGGUAUAUGCCUUCUCUCAAAAUAUGUAGUAUUUGUGGUAUGAGGCAUAAUGACAUUGCCUUCUCUCUCAUCCUACUCUAAUAAGGCUUUAAUAUCUAGAGCUCAUAGGUGGGAGAUAAAAUAUACAUACUUACAAGACAUUUAUUCUAUAGUCAAACCAUGGAUCCAAAGAAACAAAUCAAUAAGUCAAAUGAAGAUGUGCUUGUGUGGCGAAUGAAUGGUGUAUGGUGAUGAUGGUGAUAACAAUGGUGGAAGUCUAAUUCUACUUUUGCUCUUUGAGGGGAUACAUACCUUUCUUGCUCUUUUGAAAUUUUGUGAGGAGAAUGAGAUGCUCUUCUCUUUUUUUUCUUUUUCUUUCGUCUCAGGUGGGUAUCUUGUACCCCUAAUUCUACGGUCAGACACUUGUCCAUUUUUACCUCUCGUCUCACUUUUUCUUUUCUUUCGAGGUUCCGGGCACUUGCCCCUUUUUAUUUCCUCGUAUCUCUUUUUUUUAGAGCACUCAUCUCAUGAGAUAAUAUAGCAAGUGGUAGUAACAAGAUAACUUGAGCAUUUAUUUUAUAGGGGAAAAAUAGAAAUGUUUUUGGUUAUUCUCUCCCGGAUUAGGAGUAGAAUAUUUUUGGGUGGUUCUGGAGAUGGAAAUGGGUGGAUAUAUGUGGAUGGUACUUCCGGAGUAGAAGUAGCAUGUAUGAGUGAACGUGCAAGUGAAUCUUGAUUUAACCACAUGACAAGCUCCUAAGGGUCUACACAGCUUGACCACACUCAAUGCUCAUAAGCAGUAAAAAGUAAAUGUGUUGCUCAAAGUCUGGCAAGCAUGUAUAUAUGGCUGUGGUGGGAAUUUAGACUCUCAUCAUACAGGAACUCAUCAUGUGUUAAAGAUUUUCAAAGAUAAAAUUCUCUAGAAUUCUAGCAUCUCUAGGAACAGAUAAACAGCAACUCAACCUUCCCAUAUCAUAUCCGUUAACAACUUAGACUUCAGAUCAAGUUUUCAUCUCACAAUUUUAGGUUUAGAGCAAGCUUUCAAUUAUAACAGUUAUACCUAAACUAGUGAGAGAACUUCAAAUUUGCAAAUUAGGCAGAGCAACUGUUCCUCAUAUCCAUGCUAGAGUUUUAUUUAUUAGAAUCCAGUUUAGCAUAGCCACUUUAUUUAUUUAUUAAACACACUAAGCAAAAGAUAUAUAUAUAUAUAAGCAUAAAAUCUUUAUUUGGUUUUUUCAUAGUUAUGUAUAUUUAAUAUAAUAAAAGUAUAAAGAUAGAUAGAAAUACUUAUCGAGAUAAAUGGGUGUGCUCUCCCCCAAGCUGAAUUUUGAUGUAAUUUCUCUUCAUGUAGCUAGCAGGUGGCAGAGGUGUAUUUGAAAGUCAGCAGCAUUCUGACAGCGAUUAGAAUGUCCUCCGUCUGCUAGUCUUCUUGAUUCUUGAUUUCUGUGGAGCUCAAAUAGACAACAAAGUUUUGUGGAACUGAUUAAGUGUUAGCAUAAGUAUCUAGCCUUUAUCAUGUUGAGCCUCCUCAAUAAAUGUUACUCCCUAUUUUUAUAUUUUCAUUCUAUAAAGCAAAAAAGAAAUAUUUAUUUUAUUUUUAUGCCACCACAGUGAAUGUACUUAUGGGUUUCAUGCCACUCGUAUACUCACAUGGGGCUUACUGUUUUUUAACAUUUUUAUUUUCUUUUUAGGGUAAUAUAAAUAUAACUAAUUAAGUAAACUAUUUGAAAUAAUUGAAAGGGAAAGGAUAACUACCAAGUUUACCUCUUGGCAAGGCGUUCGGUGUUUUUAAGUCUUCCGAACGGGACUCUCCAUUUUCUCAAUUGUCCUGGGAUUCGUUGGGUGGCGUAGUCGGUACUUCCGGUGGUGCCUCCUCUUCAUGUAUAGUUAUCUUCUCUCUCCAUACCUGACUCGGUGCUUCGGUCUCCUCAGGAUAGUUCUAUUUAAACUGUAUGUCUUCUGACCUUACUACUACUCCUUUGUAGUCUACCCAUCCGUCCUUGAUGAUUUGCCUCCUCUGGUUGCGGUUGCGUUGCUUUCUGACCUACUUAGAUUCUUCAACGAUAUAGUUAGGGUCAGUAAAAUAGCGGCGUACCUUCUCUGAGGGGAAGUGCAUAUGGACUUCUCAAGUUCCAAUGUAGAUGAUUGCUUUAACGGUGCUGAGGAACGGUCUUCCAAGGAUGAUGGGUGGAUCGUAUUCGUCUUCUCCCAUGUCAGUAACCUGAAAGUCUGUGUAGACAAAAAUGAUCGUCUCUUUUGACAGGGACAUCAGUUACUAUUCCAUUAACCUCUCGAAAUGUCUGAUCUGCCAUCUGGAGCUGAAUGUAUGUUGGUUUUAAGGGCAUGGUUCCAAACAAGAGCCGAUAGGUGACUGCGGCCAUUAUGUUGACGCCCGAUCUGGUGUCGCAAGUCGUCUUGUAGAAGUUGUAUCCAUUUAUGGAGCAAUAGAUGCUUGGCACUCCUGGGUCGUCCUUCUUGAUUAGAAACGGU
rnacentral:lncRNA from 1 species